UCUUCCUAGCUGGAGAUCAGGAGCAGCGGCGAGGGAGGCCCGGAACAGAGAACCGAGCACCCUUUCGUGCGCCGAUGUCCAGCGGUAACACUUUGGCCACCCCAAACCUGCGUCUUGCCGACCGGCGGGCGCACGCUGCUGUCACUCCGGAGAGCGCAGCCGCCGUGCAUUGUGCUCCCUGCCGGGCAGCACCCGCCCGCCACCGAGCGCGGCCGGGGCCGGCGGGACCCGAGCACGACCCAGCCGUAAGGGCGGGGCGGGAGGGCCCCGUGUGCUGCGGUGCUUCCGUCGGACCCGUGUCCGCUUCCGCCCGGCCCUGCCGCUCUUCUCCCGGCUAGCGGCAGCGCGCUUGGACCCCGACCGACGUCUGUUAGCUGCCAAGUAAAGAAGGUAAAGAAGCCUGUCCACACAAAAGACUUACUAGCCAGUAAAGGGAUAUGCUGCCUGGAGCAGAGAUGAGGUCAGGCAAGCCAAGACAAAGUAUGUUGAAUAGGAAAGGAAAGAAAAUGCACGCAUGACACUCCCCGUGCUCUCCUCAUAAGGAAGACAGGAAAACUACAGGCAACUAUCGUGGAGAAGGCUGAGAUACUCAGCAAUUUUUUCAUCUCAGUUUUCCAUGGUAAUCUCUCUUCCUACAUCUCUCAAGCUCCUGCCCCUCAAGACAGGGACUGGGGGAAUACAUAACAGCCAUUGAAAAUGAAGAUCAGGUUUGGGACCAUGCGAGGAACCUGAAGGUACAAAAGUCCAUGGGAGGCAAUCAGUAGCAUUCCGUGGUCCGGAGGGAAUUGGCUGAUGUAAUUGCCAGGCCAUUCUCAAGGAUACUUGAAAAGACAUGGCAGUCAGGCAAAAUCCCCAGUGACUGAAAAAAGGGAAAUAUUACAUGCAUUUUUAAAAAGGUAAAAACAAGGACCAUGGGAACUGCUCUCCAGUCAGCCUCACCUUCAUGCCUGCUAAGAACAUGGAGCAGAUCCCCCUGGAAGACAAGUCAAAACAUUUGAGACACAGAGAGGCAGUUAAAGACAGUCAACAUGACCUCACCAAUGGCAAAUUGUGCAAGACUGAUCUAGAAGCGUCCUAUGGUGGAGUAGCUGCAUUAGUGAACACUGGAAAAGCUAUGGAUGUCAUCUACCUGGACUUCUCUAAAUCCACUGGUUUGGGCCUCCCAGCAUUGUAACUGCCAUAUUGGAGGGAUACGGGUCUGAUGAAUGGACCAUUAGCAACCUGAUCUAGUGAAAGAUAUCACUGCCAUAGGAGGCCCCUUCCAACUUAAACCAUUCUAUGAUUCUGUGAUUUACUAUUACUCCAGACUUAUGCUCUGAGAUCAAGGCUGGUGCACUAUAUUUCAUAGGUGGUAAAAUAGUAAUAAUGUGAAAAUUCAGGUUUUUGAAAUGAGCUUUACAAUCACUGAGGUUGGUCAGUUCAAGCCUUGUGCAGAUUAGUAUUUUUGGUUAUAUGCUCUCUGUGAUCGUCUGAAAGUGUUUCCUAAAUGUAUUAGAAGUGCUUCUAAUGCUGUAGUUUCCUAAUUUUUUCCACAGUUUCCUUGCUGGUGUUAGAUGUCAUAGCAAGGAAAGGCAGCUUCCUUACAUGUAGGCAGUACUGUGAAACAAGGAAAACAACACUUUGGGCCAUCCAGUCUAAUUCACAGAGUUUUACUUUUUUUUUCUUUUUUGCCCAUCCCAGUUUUUUGUUGGUUUUGUUUGGGGUUUUUUUUCAAUUUCAUCCUGCACCCUGUUCUUCCUUUUCUUCCUGUAUCCUCUCUGCUCCCACUCCCUCCUUCUGCCUCGCGUCAUCUGUCCCUGGUGCUCCCAUCCCACAGCUGGACGGGUCCGUGAGCGCAGAUGCCGGUGCUGCAGCGUUCCGGGGGGCAGCAGCAGCAGCAGUGUCGUAGGGAAGGGAUGAGCUAACUGCUGCCCUCAUGCCGUGGGGUGGCCGGUGGCCUGUGACAGUGGAGCUGGGGAGGAUCUUCAGGCUUUCUGGGGGCUGCUGCCCUUUCUUGUUGUGGCAGAGCCUCUUUUUGGGGGCGUGUACACGUGGAAAUGGCUUUAAUAUAAAGCAAUGUGCUUCUGUCCAGGGACUCGUUUUGUGCCUUCUUUGGGGGUGAGGAGAAAAGGCUGGGAGAUGAGUUGGAGGCUUGAGGGCUCAGAUCUCUUUUGGGGCACCCCAACAUCCGUGGGAGAGCCAUGCUGCAGUGGAGGAGCAGGUGAGUGGGGAAUCAGGGGGAGUCAUGUUGGGUGUCCUCCCCCAGAAGGACCCAAAGCUGCCAGAAGAUUCACAGGGAGGGAUGAGUAUAGAAUACCAAAACCUGUCAAGUUUUUCUUUCUUAUAUAUAUUAACAAUCUAAAUUUAUUUAUAAAUUCAUUUUAUAAUAAGCCCUCUCUAUCUACUAUAUUAUGUACAGGAAUAUAAGAAACUCGGACAAGACGUGCAGGUUUUUGAAAAUAAUGCCAUAACGUUUUUAUAUAGGAAUGAAACAAUCAAGUGCCUGAAACCAUAAGAAAAGCUGCUGGCGCUGAAGGGGAUAGGACGCUCUGGCAAUUUUUGCGUCCAUUCUCUGCCCGCCCCUCAAGCUCGUCGCAGCCCCGGGCUGACUUCGGCGGCAGUGCAGCCACCUUGUGGGCAGAGAGCGGUACUGCAGCCCCCCGAGCCAGCGCCCUGGCCCUCGCCGCUGGGUGACAGGAGACAGGGGUGAUGACUGCUCUCAGCAAAGGCUCUUUAUUAUUCCUCUGUCAGAUUUCCCUCAGCGCUGGGCAAGGAAGGCGAGGGUUUGGAUUAGGAAUUCUGCAAGCAGGGCCUGUGUGACCACUGGCUUCCUGUGUGUGUGUCAGUGACCAAAAUCAAGAGCAAAGAUGCUGGAAAAUGCCUCUCUGGAUGUGUGCUGAGCUCUUGCUGUGGACUGUGCGGUCCUAAUUGCUGCAGUUUCCCAUUCUCACUGGGGAAUUGGAAAUAAUUAUUUGGGCUGCAAAGAUGUUUUCUGAAACCUUUCCCAUUUUUCUGCCUUUUAAUGGUAGAUUUUCUCUUUCUGCCUUUGAAUUUUAUAGUGAUUUUCUGAUGUCAUUCACCUACCCAAAUUCCUUGCAGCUCCUGGGGCAGAGAGAAGCUUCUGUGGCCUACAUUCAGUGGGAGAAUGAUACUGUGUGUCCCACCUCUUUAAUUUAACUGCUUUUUAUAUCUUAGAGUGUAGACUUAGUUGAUCCUUUUUCAACUGAAUGUGGCAGGCUGAACUCACCUGAGUUACUGAACCAUAAUUUAGAUAGCUGAGUUUUUUUAAAGCAGAAAACAACCAAGCUUUUUGUCUAUAGGCUUUACUGGUAUUGCUCCUGCACAUGUUUUAUCUAGUCUGAGACUUGAACACCAGCUCUCAAAGUCCAGUUCUUUAUGAUCAUCCACAUGGCCAUGAAGGUCAACUUAGCCAUUACUUUGAUGGCUGCCUUUGACAUUAUGGUCCUGGAGGCAAACUUGAGAUUACUAAGAGUACAGCAGCAGUUCUGCUUCUCUUCCAUUAUUGUCUGUGUUUGAACUGGGUGGGAUUCCCAUGCACUCGUGGUUUUGAGGGUCUUGAUUGAAGGAAAACAUGCCUUUUCCAUGGUGUUAGGGGUAUCCCGGGGUGGCAGGGAAUCCCUGUGUUCUAUUUCAAAUUGAAGGGGAAAAAUAUUGUUGUUGUAUGCUGGGUUUUGACUUGAGGGUAGCCCCCCCAUUUUCAUCAUCCUGAGGUUUAAAUGGAGGGGGUAGUUGGUAGGGGACGUGUUGUCCGUCCUUGUAAAGGGUUUGGAUUGCGGUAAAAAUCCCCCUUUUACCAUCAUUUGAGGAAUGUACCUUCUUUUCUGCUCUUACAGGGGAUGAAACUGAAGGGGAGAACACAUUUGUUUGCCCUUGUUGAAGUGAGGCGAGCACCUGAGUGUGGCGUCAGUUCCGGGGGCUGAAUUGAAGGAGGCUGCAGCUCUCGCAGCGUUUGAAGGCUGAGCAAGGGGCCACAGUCGGUGAGUCUAGGAAACUGCCAGCGGGCGAGGCGGCCUUCCUCGGCACCGGACGUGGAUUCUCGUCCCCGGACGUCCGAGAGAUAAGUCGAGGGCUGGGACCCUGAGAGGGGAUGGAAGCGAGGCGCUGGGAGGGCUUUUGGAGGCAGCUUUGGAGAUGGGGGUGGCCCUUUAGGCCACAUAAAGGAAAAACCUCACAGUGCUGACGUGCUCAGGGCAGAGCAGUGCCGGUGCACGGUGUGUCACUUGUCUGUCGUGCCUUCUGUGUCUUUUGCCUUAGUCCUUUGAGGGGCUUAUCGGAAGCCCGGGCGUCCAUCUUUGCAGCUCUCAUCUCUGUGUUCCUCGGCCCCGUGCUGAUUCCUUCUUACCUUUGG